GGACGCCCCGCCCCGUCCCUACAGCGGCUCAAAAAAACGGGGGGGGGGGGGUGGCAGGGGCACCGCAGCCUGGGGUCUAGAGCGCACUCACCGAAGUACUUGGACCAGUAGGCCAGCUGUGAAGAAAAGGGACAGGGUCAAAGGCCUCAGCCCAUGUAUAAGUAUAUAGGGAGCCCAGGGGGUGCCCCCUGAGUCUGGCCUAGGUAGAGCAGGGGAGGGAAGGGCUUCUGGACAAAGAGGGGUCUACCCCUGCUUGUUGCCAGCCGCUGGUGCAACUGCCCUCUGAGGAGGACCACCACACUCCUCCUUGCCCCCUGCUGCCCAUGUCCAAGCCACAUCCCAGGUACCACCCCCCCACCCCACCCCACCCCCAGUGCAGCUGGAACCCUGCUCUCUGGACUGCCUGCUACAGCAACAACCUUUACACUGGAAGCGACCCAAAUCUCCCACCCAGCUGCUCUGCCUCCUUCCAGCCUCUGUCACUCUCUUGGGCUUUUCUGGACCUCUCAUGCAUGUGGUCUUUCCCUAAGCCAGUGUUCUCAAAGCGGAGACCUUGUUGGUUAGACAUGGAUUGCUGAGAAGGUCUGCUUGUCUGACCAAGUCCCUGUUCCUGCUGCUGCUGCUGCUGCUGCUGCUGGUGAUCUGGGACCACCACACGGGAGAUCCACAGCUGGAUGCCUGCAACAUUAAACCCCUCCCUGUAGCAGUGGCUCUGCCCUGCUGGGCCUAGGAGACCUUAGGCAGAUGGCCAGCGGGGGAAGACAGGAGACUUGGCCAUUCAGAGGAUAUGUGCUGGACAGACAGUCCUCCCUUUGGACCCAAUCUGACCUCCAUGUGACCUUGAGCCAGUGCCUUUGCCUCUCUAAACUUCAGUUUAUUUGUACAAACAUGAGGAUGAGGUAAUGGUGUCAAACAGCACAGUGCCUGACCUAGAAAUGAGCACUCAGUGACACAUGUUGGCUGGAUGUUGUUAUUACCAGGACUGCAAACGUCACUCUGUCUUGCUAUUCUCCCAGUACCCCUGUGCAACCCUAUCUUGACUGUCCCACUUAUCUCCCCCACCUCCCCACCUCCACCCCCCUUGACCUCUCCUGAGUGGAGCAUUUCCUCUGCCUUCCCCUCAGGGGCAGGGCAGACCUGGAAGACAGCAGACCUGUGCCUUGGGCUCUGAGAGAUAUCUGUUGGUUAUAGCUGGGAUGAAGGGACCAAGUAAGGGGAGUGAGCAAGACAGGCUGGAGGAGGCAGUGCAGUGUCCAGGAAAGGAAGGCAUCUGACCUGAGUCUGGAUACAGGAGCCAAGUGAACCACAGGUAGGAGUCCCCACUCCCAGGCAGACAAGCAGCUCAAUAUGGAGCUCAAAUGCCAACAACAGCUGGUGUGCCUCAAGGAGACUGGGGCAGGGGGGCUGCUGCAAGGCACUGGCAGCUCUUUGCCCCUCAGACCUCCUCAUGCACCCUGGCUUUCUCCUGUUGGCUGGGAGUCAAGGGGGUCAAGGGGUGAAGCUGGGCAGUCACCAUACACGUGUCUAGGAGGAGAGGCUGCCCUGUGGCAGUGUGGUUGCUAGCCAGUCCUGGCUUUCAGCUUUCUGGCUUUCACAGUUAAGGGAGUGAGUGGAUGGAAGGGAAAGGCCCAGGGGACCCAGUGGCCCACUCCCAGACUGGAGGUGGGAACUUCAUGACAUACCCCCUGGGGCUCCUUGCUGUCACCACAGUACUCUGCCAUCACAGUCCCCCCACCCCUGCCUAGGGUGGAGGGGCGGGGGCUACUGGAUUCAAGCAGCUGGCCUUUAGGGACUGUCAGGUUGCUCCUCCCCAUGGUGCCUCUCCUGUCACUCUGAGGCUCAGAGGAUAUGCUGCAAAGUAUGAGGGCCUUGUGUAGGGCCUUGUGAAGACCCUGAUGAUCCCAGGGAAGGACAGUGGCCUUACCGGGAGGAACUGGUGUGCCGGAAAUUCCCCAGAUGGUCACCAACAGUAAGAGGCUUGCGAGCUGCCACAUUCUGGAGUUGCUGCCACCUGUCUGAGGAGGAUUUUUGAGCUUCCAGCAGCCUCACCAGCCCCUGCUCUGCCUACCACCCCUGCCCCAGAUGGGAGCUGACUGCCAGGGCCAGGGCUUGGGGGGGUCCUUGUUCACUACCCAGACAGCUACUAGCCCCUCAGUGUCCUGGCCUGUGUGGGGCUAGGAUCACAGCAGCUGCCCAGCAUCUGAGGGAUGAAGAGAAAAGGUGGAAAGGACACAGAUUCCUGGGGAAGAUCAAAAGGACUCAGCACAAAAGGGCCAUGGCAGGUGCCCUCUCUUGCCCUGUUAUUUGAGGACAGGAGGUGGUGACUUUGCUGAUUUAAUGGCCAGGCUAAGAGUCGUAACUAAUAUUUAUCAGACAUUUAUGGUAUUUUUCGAACAACUUAUACAUAGUUCAGAAAGCAGGCCACCAAGUCAACCACUUGGUGCAAAUCCCAGCUCCGGGACACCAAUGCUGGGCAAGAUACCUAACGGCUCCAUGCCUCAGUUUCCUAGUUAGAAAAACUGUAUUUCUGCCUUAUAGUAACCCUAUGAGAAUUAAAUUAAUUAAUCCACAUAAUACUCUUAAAACAGGGUUUGUAUACAGCAAAUGCUUGGGAAUAUUGGCUUUUAUUCUCUCGGUUAAAGCUCACAAAACGGGGUGCCUGGUUGGCUCAAUGGGUUAAGCCGCUGCCUUCAGCUCAGGUCAUGAUCUCAGGGUCCUGGGAUCGAGUCCUGCAUCAGGCUUUCUGCUCAGCAGGGAGCCUGCUCUACCCCUCCUCUCUCUUGCCUGCCUCUCUGCCUACUUGUGAUCAUUCUCUCUCUCUGUCAAAUAAAUAAAUAAAAUCUUUAAAAAAAAAAAAAAAAA